GACGAACGCUGGCGGCGUGCUUAACACAUGCAAGUCGAACGAAGAGCGAUGGAAGCUUGCUUCUAUCAAUCUUAGUGGCGAACGGGUGAGUAACGCGUAAUCAACCUGCCCUUCAGAGGGGGACAACAGUUGGAAACGACUGCUAAUACCGCAUACGAUCUAACCUCGGCAUCGAGGAUAGAUGAAAGGUGGCCUCUACAUGUAAGCUAUCACUGAAGGAGGGGAUUGCGUCUGAUUAGCUAGUUGGAGGGGUAACGGCCCACCAAGGCGAUGAUCAGUAGCCGGUCUGAGAGGAUGAACGGCCGCAUUGGGACUGAGACACGGCCCAGACUCCUACGGGAGGCAGCAGUGGGGAAUCUUCCGCAAUGGACGAAAGUCUGACGGAGCAACGCCGCGUGAGUGAUGACGGCCUUCGGGUUGUAAAGCUCUGUUAAUCGGGACGAAAGGCCUUCUUGCGAAUAGUUAGAAGGAUUGACGGUACCGGAAUAGAAAGCCACGGCUAACUACGUG
rnacentral:rRNA from 1 species